CGCAGACAGACACUUACCGCUGACAGCGCCCUCGAAGUUCCCUCUCCGGGCCCUUCUAUCGCACUUCAACCUCUCCAUUCUUUUCUCCCCACCACGGCAUACACGCUCACCUACGCAGGGCUGCGGUGGUGGACAUCAUCGACAUCAUCGCCGAUGACGGAGUCCGGCGCCGAUGUCGUAUGCACCGGCAAAGUGCCGCCGCCGGUCGACGCGGUCUCGCAGAGGUCGUCCACUGCAGCGGCAGAGGAGGCGACUUCGUAUCAAGAGACGGUGCGCUUCUGCACGUGGCGCAAACACGUGCGCAACUUGUAUCAGCACCUGUUUCACAUUGACCUCGUCUGGGAAAGUCCGGUGGCGCAGUUCAUGCCGUACGUGACGGCAAAGAGUGGCCUCACCACGCACACCAUACUGAGCGGAACUCGCACAGGCGGCCAAGAGCAGAGCUACAUCCAGCUCCUGUCUGCAACGGUGCCGCAGGACACGCAGGCCCUGGACGGAUCCGAUGUAGCCUACAGCGAGGCCACUGGUGAGGUCGGCGGGUACGGCAUGGCGCCGCACGCCUGCGGCCUCAACAUUGAGCGGCGCAUUCUUCACGAUGGGGAUGUGCUGGCAGCCCGAUACGCGCCAGUAAACCCGCUCCUCAUCGCAUCGUCCUCUAGCAACGGGAACCUGUAUGUGUUUGACUGGUCGCGAGUGCCGCUGGGCCGCUUCCCGAAUGAGCCUUCGCGGCCCCGCGCGCCGCUGCCGCCAAACGAACUCAGCAGUGACGCGACGGAGGAGGAGCGAGCCCAGUACCAGAAGCGAAUGCGUGCACUCAAUGUGGUGGUGACGGAGCAGGACCGAUGGGACCGUCGCACCGGUGAGGGGCAGCACGUGCUAACGCUGAAGGGCGGCAAGGGUGCCUCGGAAAACUUGGACUGGAGCACCAAUGCGGAGGGUGUGGUGGCGUCUGGUUCCACAGGCCGAGUCUGUGUGUGGCGCGUGGCCAACUUGUCGAAGGACGACAGCCGCCAGGUGGAGCCGUUCAAGGUCUUCUCGCUCGAGGACGAGGAGGCGCGCGUCACGCAGGUGAACUUCUCGUGGACGUCGCCGGACACCUUCGUGGCGGCGUCCUCCACUGGUGCCGUGUACUUCAACGAUGUGCGCAUGCAGCACACCACGGAGGUAUUCUCCAUCGAAAACGCGGCCACCUCCCUCGCCCUCUCCCCACUUGACGGGAACGCGCUGCUCGUUGGCGACGCGCUGGGCAGCGUUCUUUUCUUCGACUUGCGCCAGAGCAGCAAGCCAGUGCAGGUGGACUGUCUGCAUGACGACGAGGUGACCACCGUUCAGUGGUGCCCACACUCACGGCACCUUUUCUCCUCCGGCGGUCAUGACGGUGUUGUCUGCAUCUACAAUCAGACCCGGCAUAAGACGCUGUUCAAGCACUGGGGCCACACCGAUGUGAUCAUGGACCUGGGCUGGAGUUGGCAGGAAGAUGGCGCUGGCCAGCUUGUGUCCACCGACAGCAACGCCAUUAUGUUAUGGAGGCCGCGGGACUUCUUCUACUGUGCUUGAUGAACAUAACGCAGAAGAGGUACUCUGGGCAAGCAAAACGGUAUGUUGCCGUGCACGGCGGCGGCCGUCUCCGUGGAGGGAGGGGGAGGAAGAGGCUCACCGCCUGUUGACUCGACUAAGGACGAGGGCCUACUGUUCUCUUGUCUGCGCACUGCCACGGGUGGAGGGCUCUGCCGCAGAGGCGCAACGGUGUGCGUCGUCUCUCUCUCUCCUCUGCGAGUCGGUCGCUCUUGCCUGAGUUUCUGUGUAAUCUCGUGGGCGGAUGCUUGGCGGCGCAACGCGCUGAACGAGCGGCACGGACUUCGGGUCCUGCUCCUCGGCCCGCUUCUAUUUCCCACACGUGGGCGUGCAAGCACCGCCGGUACCUUUCGCGCACACGUCCUCCUCUGUCUCUGUGAAGCGCACGCUGUCUUUCAGAGGCAUUGGCCAAAAGAGGGUGCUGGAGGGUGUCAUAGAAGGCGUACGAUGCCGUCGCAUAAUAGGGUGCUCGCACGCAGUGCGCGCGCACUUGACGAGAGGCGUGCGUGUGUGCGUACGUGCGCGUGUGCGCCGUUUAGCAGAUGCAUAG
rnacentral:misc_RNA from 1 species